CCGAGACAGACCGAGACCCAGAGACACAGAGACAGACUGACAGAGAGACACAGAGACACAGAGACACAGAGACCCAGAGACACAGAGACAGACUGACAGAGAGACAGACCGAGACCCAGAGACACAGAGACAGACUGAGAGAGAGAGAUUCCAGUUUUGAUGGCUGAUACAGUCCACUGCCCAAAGCUCAGAGAUUAAGAUUUAAAUAGAGGUGGGUGGCGAGGAGUGGUGUGUGUAUGUAGAUGCCUGGGAGGUGGAAUGAAAGGUGAGUGGGAGAGGUGAGGAGUGGACUGGUCUGGAAGACAAACUGCCUGAACCAGGUCUCGACAUGGAGAGGUGAGGAGUAGACUGGUCUGAAAGACAAACUGCCUGAACCAAGUCACACCAUGGAGGGGCGACAGGCAGUUCCCAGUCUGAACCAAGUCACAACUUGGAGGGGUGACAGAUAGUUCCCAGUCUGAACCAAAUCACAACAUGGAGGGGUGACAGGUAGUUCCCAGUCUGAACCAAGUCACAACAUGGAGGGGUGACAGACAGUUCCCAGUCUGAACACAACAUGGAGGGGUGACAGACAGUUCCCAGUCUGAACACAACAUGGAGGGGUGACAGGUAGUUCCCAGUCUGAACCAAGUCACAACAUGGA
ensembl:lncRNA